AGGGUAAUAGCUCAGUGAUAGAGCACAUGUUUAGCAUGUACUAGGUCCUGGGUUCAAUCCCCAGUAUCUCCA
rnacentral:tRNA from 1 species